rnacentral:rRNA from 1 species
CCUACGGGAGGCAGCAGUCGAGAAUCAUUCACAAUGGGGGAAACCCUGAUGGUGCGACGCCGCGUGGGGGAAUGAAGGUCUUCGGAUUGUAAACCCCUGUCAUGUGGGAGCAAAUUAAAAAGAUAGUACCACAAGAGGAAGAGACGGCUAACUCUGUGCCAGCAGCCGCGGUAAUACAGAGGUCUCAAGCGUUGUUCGGAAUCACUGGGCGUAAAGGGUGCGUAGGCUGUUUCGUAAGUCGUGUGUGAAAGGCGCGGGCUCAACCCGCGGACGGCACAUGAUACUGCGAGACUAGAGUAAUGGAGGGGGAACCGGAAUACUCGGUGUAGCAGUGAAAUGCGUAGAUAUCGAGAGGAACACUCGUGGCGAAGGCGGGUUCCUGGACAUUAACUGACGCUGAGGCACGAAGGCCAGGGGAGCGAAAGGGAUUAGAUACCCUAGUAGUC